GAAAAGUAUUUAAAAACACAAGGAAAAGGGUUGCAUGCACCGGGGCUUGCCUGAGUAACACUAGGUUAGUGUUGUUAAACGACGUCCACUUGGCGACCAUCAUCAGGUUGGUCUAUCAGUUUCAUCCUGUGGAUUAGCCCGCGUUUGGGGUCGACUUGGGUCGUCUUCCGCAUCGCGCGAUUAAUAAGCGUACCUAAAUGAUUUGCAUAAUGCACAUGAAUGCAUAGCACUGACUUCACUGCACAACUAAAAUUCUUCGUAUGAAAUGUCGAUAGCGCCUACCGGCAAGGCACUAAAAUUACUAAGCAAAUAAAUUCAGCUUACCAGCAUCAAACGUGACCCAAUACUCGUGCGAAUGCUGAUAAAUCCUGGCUUGAGCUUGUCGUCGAACAUCUGACGAGUGUCGUGCGGCUUCACCUUCUUCUUCAUACCUUCCGGUGAUUUCUCUCAAACCAGCGACGAUCGACAAGGAUUACGAACAUGACGAGAGGGCGAAAACCAUCUAUCACAACAACUCUCUACCCCGCAACCAGCAUCUAAAAUAGCCCUACGAAGCAAUGUCAAGAUCUUUCGGCCCCGUGACCCAGAUGGGGCUGACCAUGAGGAGGCGAAACACGAUGAGACGCAUAUCGGAAGAGUUACCGAGAUUAAAGAUGAUGACACGCGCCAUGGCGAGGCAGAGAUGGAGGAUGAGCACAUGAAGGGACACAUGAUGUUAUCGCACACAGCGCAAAGGCGAACGACAACGACACAGAUAGUGUUGGACAUGGCCGAAUCUGUUCAGAGCUUCAAAUCGACGGCCACCAGG
rnacentral:lncRNA from 1 species